CAAGGUCCGGCAUCGCGGACACCACAAGGGAUUAGACAUCCUCCGAUUAGCACGGGUGGCUACGUAUGGUGCAAAAGAAGUUCAACGUACAGUCACUCACCCACACACUCUCACCCACACACUCUCACCCACCCACACACCCAUCCUCCGAUUAGCACGGUCACGUACGGUGCGAAGCAAGUUCAAGGGAUGUCCAGCGCGACACGACCGACUGUCGACAUCCUCAAGCCCUACCCAUCACCUCCCAUCCAGAGGCGCACACGGGGAAAACAGAGAUGCCCGGGAGUUUUCACGGGUGUACAGCAGAAAUCAAGAGACCAGGAACACGUUCCUUCGGAGUGGGCAGGAACGCAUCGACCGCGUUAAACAAGGACUCGCUAUGGGUAAAACUACGGCCGGCUGUUCGUGGGAACGCUCAAGCAGCCGUGAUGACCACCACCAAAAGUCGUCAUCCACCCAGGUCUGCUGGCAGCAACAUCGUUACUCCUUGGCAUAGUUUUCUCGAGGAAAGCCCCUCAUGCUGGAGAGGUCACAGAUCACUAUACAGUAACCAUGAGAAUUGGACUUACAAAAAACGUAUUUGAUCGUAUCACUCAAUGUUCCAU